CCACACAACUUUCCAAAGCAUGGGGAGCAA
rnacentral:piRNA from 1 species